CGCCCACUACUUCCUGAUUUAUUUCCACCUAAAUAUUUUCACGCGCCUCUGCACCUCAACCUGCCUUCCACCACACACAGUGUGUGUGUGUGUGUGUGUGUGACUAGUACUACAAAAGGACUAUUGACAGCGGUGUUUGGAAGCAGCAACGUGGAGGCGGUGGCGGAGAUAAUCAUAAUUGUUGGCGCGGGACAGGAGGCCAGUGUGGAGGGCGUGUACAGAAGCAGACGGCACUAGUGGUUAAGCUGUGCGCGUUCAGAGUGUUGGCGAGUCAAUGAGGAUAGUAUGGAGGCCUUCAGUGUCGUUAGAGAGAAGGUGCUUCGCCUCGUGUCUCGUGUUCAUGGAGUGGGUCGGUGGUGGCGAGGGUGGCGGGUGGUGGGCAUGCGCGAUCACGGCUGUGAGCUGAGAGCCUCUCAGAGUAUAGGCGACUGGAAUCCCUAAGCCAGUGAGGGAGAGAAGGUUCAUGUUAUAGGAUUUAUUAAUAUUGAUGUUGUUUUGUUUGGUUCUGUCAGGAUUUGCCUGCUACUUAUUUUCCUUGUGGUGCAGUGAAGUGAAUGGCGUGUGGCGGUGUGGUGAAGUGUGGCGUGUCCCUCGUUCUGGUGCUGAGACACACACCAAGGGUCGAUAAUGGCGAUGCGAGGAAGGAAAACCUGUGUUAAGUUCUGAGGUGCGGUGACAAAAUUACUGUGUUGUGAGUGAAUAAAAUUCGUUCCGUAAGCCGCGGCCGCAUGUCACUGUGAUGUUCUGCUGUUACGUUGUUGUUGCCGUGAUCCAGUUACACAGUGAAAGAGAUCGUCGUGAUCCCAGUGCAGCACUGUAAUGCCGUGCUGCCGGGAGUGUUGCCGUGCCGCCUUGCUGCCAGGAAGUCUUGUCGUGUGCUGGCAAGUGUUGCCGCACUGCCGGCAGGAGUAAGUGGACCUGCUGGUGGACUACAGGCUGGACACAAGCACUGACAAGCAGUACAGGGCAUUUCAUGAUGGCUUCUGCAGGGUGUGUGACGGUACUGUGCUCAGACAUUUCCAGCCAAUGGAACUUAUGGACUUGGUCACCAGCAAUGAAAAUUAUUUCUGGACUGAGUUGGAAAAGAAUACCAUCCAGUCACUCGCACGUGUUGAUAAGUCUUUCGCGAGCUCUCGCUGGAACAGAAAAUGUUUUCAAGUUUCUCACGGGGACUGACCAGGUUCUUCUACUACUAGUGUCCAGUUGAAGGACCGCAGUCGUAUUGGACCUGGUCAAAUUAUUCGAAUUGAAGGAUGUUCGAAUCACGAGGCCUGCACCACACCUGCGAGAGGAGGAUCUCCCAAGGCUGUCUCCCAAUGUCACCUUUUCCUGUCUCCGUCGCUCCAUCUUAGCAUACCUUGCUUGCUCAUCCAGUUGCUGUCUGCAAGGUGGAGAAUGUUUACAC